AUUGAACGCUGGCGGCAUGCCUUACACAUGCAAGUCGAACGGUAACAGGUCUUCGGAUGCUGACGAGUGGCGAACGGGUGAGUAAUACAUCGGAACGUGCCCGAUCGUGGGGGAUAACGGAGCGAAAGCUUUGCUAAUACCGCAUACGAUCUACGGAUGAAAGCAGGGGACCGCAAGGCCUUGCGCGGACGGAGCGGCCGGUGGCAGAUUAGGUAGUUGGUGGGAUAAAAGCUUACCAAGCCGACGAUCUGUAGCUGGUCUGAGAGGACGACCAGCCACACUGGGACUGAGACACGGCCCAGACUCCUACGGGAGGCAGCAGUGGGGAAUUUUGGACAAUGGGCGCAAGCCUGAUCCAGCCAUGCCGCGUGCAGGAUGAAGGCCUUCGGGUUGUAAACUGCUUUUGUACGGUACGAAAAGACUCUUUCUAAUAAAGAGGGUCCAUGACGGUACCGUAGGAAUAAGCACCGGCUAACUACGUGCCAGCCGCCGCGGUAAGAC
rnacentral:rRNA from 1 species